CAAACUCUUUCGGCACAUGCUCUCGAUCCCAACCUUUUGGCACGACAAGAAAUAAAGAAAACAUGUGCAAACAAAAGCGACGCAUCACGUACGGCCACACAUGCAUGUAUGUACGCCCGUUUGCGGUCCAUAUCACAUCCAAAGUCUCUAGCUUUGUCGAGGAUUUUUUUUUUUGUUCAUUUUCAUUCCACUGAUUAUUAUAUUUUUUCCUUCGUAGAUCAAUAAUGCGAAGACCGUUGUUCUGGAAAAAAAAUGUGGCUAGAUGCUCUCCUCUCUGUUUUUUUAGGGAACCCUCUUCUCUCUGUUUUUUACACCGUGAAGUGGAGGCCUUUUCUACUGUACUACCAAGAAACCGAAGAAAAUAAAGUACUCCGUAGUAAAGAACGGCUUCGGCCCGAUGGACGUGGAGAGCACAAGGUCCAUAUGAGGGCUUUCACUUUCAGACUUCGGUGGUAUAUCGAUCGCAUUCGCAUGCAACAUCCUGUUUGGGCAAAGCUCUCUUUGCACGGUGCUUGCUAGGCAGCGCACACUAGCUAUUACUCCCGUACAGAAUGACCCGUCAGAUGCCAUUUCUGUGGCAAUUCAGUGGAAAGUGCCAAUUCAAUUCCCGUCCAAUCGACCGUCCAUCGUCGAGCCAAGCUGAUUGAACUCGUCGUCUCUCGCUUUCUUCUCUCUCACCAGCUAGACCACACCACCGGUGACACGUCAAGUCAUCAUCGAGUCACCACGCUGCCCGCCGCUUGGAUCGUGCGAUUCGCGCCAAAAGUGGCAUCCAUGCAUGUUGCCUCCCCCUACGGUUUAAAGAAAAGAAAAGAACCACGCGAUCAAACUUCCUAGUGCUUUUAAUUACUCUGACCAACAAACGUCUGCUAGCUUAGCUUCAUGACCUAAUGCUUGCACUAAACAUAUCGAUUCGAGUACAUUAAUAAUUCGUGUCCGGAAUCGAAUCAAUAAUUGAACUUACGAUGGAAAUCUUUGAACUAUAUUAUCGAAAUUCCCUUCCUUCUUCCGCACGACAACCAAUAUCCUACUCGGACGUCAACCAUUCUUCGUCAGCAGAUGGAAUCACGUAGUACGUACGUAGGAGAACGCAGACUGUGGAAACGUGACAGAGACAAAGAAGACCCAAAGGAAACUCAUAGACGGUUUGGGAGAGCUGCAAUUUCCUAUGCAGCCAACUGCCGACAACUCUCUAACAAGUGGCUAAUUCUCCAUCACGACAGACCAGCUUGGCCGUCAAGUCUCUGAAAAAACUUGGCAAGCUACUUUACAAUAUGAAAAAACAGACAUCAAAAAGAUGGUCAUUAUAUCGCAGUUUAACAUAAAUCAGGAGUUCUAACAUAACAAAAAGGAUUAAUCAUUUCCGUCAAAAGAAAAAGAAAUUAAUCAGGCGUCUUUCAAAGAAAAAUCAAUAUGCAUAAAGAACAUUAUAAAGAAGUUCCCAGAGUGGGUUUCCAGCCAGACUCCCGUAAGUCGGUUGUGCGUCGAGCUUUCAAACCCAACUAGCUAGAGCCAUUUCCGGCGUUUGUUUUGCACGGCCACCAAAGGAACAUGGCCCGUACCUUUACAAAAACCCCACCGAGUAGCGUGAUGCCAUUUUUCUACUUUGGCCAACUCUUCCUUUCUGGACAACGCACCAAUCUGACCCAAUAUUUUUUCAGCUUGACUGACUCAUCAAUCACCAACCACUUGCACGACAACCCAGCUGGCCGCCUAUAUAACCAUGCGCCAGCUAAACGCCCAUUCAACACCGACCAGGACAAUUCACUUGGAAGUUGAAAUCUCUCAACACUUGGUGGUGAAGCAAAUUAAAGCGAGAGACCAAAAAAGAAAAGAAAGCAGAGGGGGUGCGGUGAGCCAGGCGGGAGAAGCUUUGCCUUACAGUACAGCCGCCGGCAACUGGCGGCCAUGGCGUCCUACGACAAGGCCAUGGAGUCGUACAAGAAGGCCAUCACCACGGCGGCGUCCCUGGCGGCGUCAGCGAUGCUGGUGCGGGGCGUCGUCAACGAGCUGGUACCCUACGAGGUGCGCAACCUGCUCUUCUCCGGCAUGGGCUACCUCCGCUCCCACAUGUCCUCCCAGCACACCAUCAUCAUAGAGGAGACAGAGGGCUGGGCCAACAACCAGCUCUACGACGCCGCACGGGCGUACCUGGCAACGCGGAUCAACACCGACAUGCAGCGCCUCCGGGUCAGCCGCGUCGACGAGACCAAGAGCAUGAUGUUCAGCAUGGAGGAAGGCGAGGAGAUGGCGGACGUCCACGAGGGCACCGAGUUCAAGUGGCGCCUCGUCUGCCGGGACAACUCCAGCGCCAGCAGCAGCAACGGCAACGGCAAUGGCCGCAGCGGCAAUUUCAAGCUCGAGGUCCGGUCCUUCGAGAUGAGCUUCCACAGGAAGCACAAGGAGAAAGCCCUCAACUCCUACCUUCCUCACAUCCUGGCCAUGGCCAAGAAGAUCAAGGAGCAGGACAGGACGCUCAAGAUCUACAUGAACGAAGGCGAGUCAUGGUUCGCCAUCGAUCUCCACCACCCGUCCACCUUCAGCACGCUUGCCAUGGAUCACAAGAUGAAGCAGUCGGUCAUGGAUGAUCUCGAGCGGUUUGUCAAGAGGAAAGAGUACUACAAGAAGAUCGGCAAGGCAUGGAAACGAGGGUACCUGCUGUACGGCCCGCCUGGGAC
rnacentral:lncRNA from 1 species